rnacentral:rRNA from 1 species
AUUGAACGCUGGCGGCGUGCCUAACACAUGCAAGUCGAGCGGUAACAGGUGUAGCAAUACAUGCUGACGAGCGGCGAACGGGUGAGUAAUGCUUCGGAAUCUGCCCAUGUAGUGGGGAAUAACCAGCCGAAAGGUUGGCUAAUACCGCAUACGACCCUUGCCCACAAGGCAAAGGUGAAAGCAGGGGAUCGCAAGACCUUGCGCUAUUGGAUGAGCCGAAGUCGGAUUAGCUAGUUGGUAGGUAACGGCCUACCAAGGCGACGAUCCGUAGCUGGUCUGAGAGGACGACCGGCCACACUGGGACUGAGACACGGCCCAGACUCC